UACGUAGGGUGCAAGCGUUGUCCGGAAUUAUUGGGCGUAAAGAGCUCGUAGGCGGUUUGUUGCGUCGGCUGUGAAAUCCCGAGGCUCAACCUCGGGUCUGCAGUCGAUACGAGCAAACUAGAGUUUUGCAGGGGAGACUGGAAUUCCUGGUGUAGCGGUGAAAUGCGCAGAUAUCAGGAGGAACACCGGUGGCGAAGGCGGGUCUCUGGGCAACAACUGACGCUGAGGAGCGAAAGCGUGGGGAGCGAACAGG
rnacentral:rRNA from 1 species